GAGUUUGAUCAUGGCUCAGGAUGAACGCUGGCGGCGUGCUUAACACAUGCAAGUCGAACGAAGCGCCUUAUUUGAUUUUCUUCGGAACUGAAGAUUUGGUGACUGAGUGGCGGACGGGUGAGUAACGCGUGGGGUAACCUGCCCCUGUACAGGGGGAGUAAACAAAUCAGAAAAUAGACUGCUAAUAACCGCCAUAAAGACCACAGCACCGCAUAGGUG
rnacentral:rRNA from 1 species